AACGAGCGCAACCCUUGUCCUUAGUUACCAGCACGUUAUGGUGGGCACUCUAAGGAGACUGCCGGUGACAAACCGGAGGAAGGUGGGGAUGACGUCAAGUCAUCAUGGCCCUUACGGCCUGGGCUACACACGUGCUACAAUGGUCGGUACAAAGGGUUGCCAAGCCGCGAGGUGGAGCUAAUCCCAUAAAACCGAUCGUAGUCCGGAUCGCAGUCUGCAACUCGACUGCGUGAAGUCGGAAUCGCUAGUAAUCGUGAAUCAGAAUGUCACGGUGAAUACGUUCCCGGGCCUUA
rnacentral:rRNA from 1 species